rnacentral:rRNA from 1 species
AGUGAACGCUGGCGGUAGGCCUAACACAUGCAAGUCGAACGGCAGCACAGUAAGAGCUUGCUCUUACGGGUGGCGAGUGGCGGACGGGUGAGGCAUACAUCGGAAUCUACUUUUUCGUGGGGGAUAACGUAGGGAAACUUACGCUAAUACCGCAUACGACCUACGGGUGAAAGCAGGGGAUCUUCGGACCUUGCGCGAUUGAAUGAGCCGAUGUCGGAUUAGCUAGUUGGCGGGGUAAAGGCCCACCAAGGCGACGAUCCGUAGCUGGUCUGAGAGGAUGAUCAGCCACACUGGAACUGAGACACGGUCCAGACUCCUACGGGAGGCAGCAGUGGGGAAUAUUGGACAAUGGGCGCAAGCCUGAUCCAGCCAUACUGCGUGGGUGAAGAAGGCCUUCGGGUUGUAAAGCCCUUUUGUUGGGAAAGAAAAGCAGCAGGUUAAUACCCCGCUGUUCUGACGGUACCCAAAGAAUAAGCACCGGCUAACUUCGUG